AUGCGGCAGGCGGUGAGCCUGGCGGCGCGGUGGGGGCACGCGCAGGUGACCCCGCUCCACAUCGCCCGCUCAAUUCUCUCGGCGCCGGCGAGCCUCCUCCGCGCUGCCUGCGUCAGGUCCCAGUCCCAUCCGAUGCAGCACAACGCGCUCGACCUCUGCCUAGACCUCGCGCUCGGCAGCCUCGCUGUGACCACCGCGGUCCACAACAGUGCCGACCCGGCGCCCUCGAACGCGUGCGUGGCCGCGCUGAAGCGGGCGCAGGCGCACCAGCCCAGAGGCAGGAGCGCGGCCAAGGUCGAGCUCGAGAAGCUCGUCGUCUCCAUCCUCGACGACCCGAGCGUCGACUGCGUCAUGCGCGCGGCCGGCUUCUCGAGCUCCCAGGUCAGGGCCAGCGUCGAGAGCGCUGUCACUUCGUCGAAGAGAUCGAGAUCAAGUAGGGCAGGUUGCGACGUGCUCGCGACCUGUCCAACUCCAGUUCCGGACAUGAUUAGGGCUGGACAACCAUCUCUCCAGACCGUCCGAGACAGAAGUGAGUGCCAAGCUAGCACUGCAAAAAUAGGAGCAGGAUGA
rnacentral:rRNA from 1 species